AAUCAACGCUGGCGGCGUGCCUCAGACAUGCAAGUCGAACGAUUAAACUUCCCUUCGUGGAUGAUAUAAAUUGGCGCACGGGUGAGUAACACGUAGGUAAUGUACCUUUGGGUGGGGUAUAACUUAGGGUAACUUAAGCUAAUACCGCAUAAUGCAGCGGCUCCUUCUGGAGACAGUUGUUAAAGAUUUAUCGCCUAAAUAGCAGCCUGCGUCACAUUAUCUAGUUGUUAAGGUAACGGCUUACCAAGGCUACGAUCUGUAUACGAGCUGAGAGGGUGGUCGGAGACACUGACACUGAAUAACGGGGCAGACUCCUACGGGAGGCAGCAGUGGGGAAUUUUGGGAAAUGGGCGAAAGCCUGAACCAGUAACGCCGCGUGAAGGAUGAAGUCGUGCAGGAUGUAAAGUUCGUAAGAAUAGGAAGAAUAAAUGACGGUACUAUGUGUAAGGUCCGGCUAACUACGUG
rnacentral:rRNA from 1 species